GACGAACGCUGGCGGCGUGCCUAAUACAUACAAGUUGAGCGCUGAAGGUUGGUACUUGUCCCAACUGGAUGAGCAGCAAACGGGUGAGUAACGCGUGGGGAAUCUGCCUUUGAGCGGGGGACAACAUUUGGAAACGAAUGCUAAUACCGCAUAAAAACUUUAAACACAAGUUUUAAGUUUGAAAGAUGCAAUUGCAUCACUCAAAGAUGAUCCCGCGUUGUAUUAGCUAGUUGGUGAGGUAAAGGCUCACCAAGGCGAUGAUACAUAGCCGACCUGAGAGGGUGAUCGGCCACAUUGGGACUGAGACACGGCCCAAACCCCUACGGGAGGCAGCAGUAGGGAAUCUUCGGCAAUGGACGAAAGUCUGACCGAGCAACGCCGCGGGAGUGAAGAAGGUUUUCGGAUCGUAAAACUCUGUUGGUAGAGAAGAACGUUGGUGAGAGUGGAAAGCUCAUCAAGUGACGGUAACUACCCAGAAAGGGACGGCUAACUACGUG
rnacentral:rRNA from 1 species